AAAAAUAAGAAGACUAACAGCAAAAACCGUAAAAAUGUUAAAGUCGCUCAGGUGUGAGUGUGUGCACGGCUAGGACAAAGUUUCAGCGAGUCCACGGUCGAGUUUCCUCAUGGAGACGCGCUGAUUUCUUCGGCUCAACAGAUACUUCAUUCACAGCAGCAGAGGCCGGGAGAGCAGAAAAGACACCGAAAAAACACUGUUCACGUCGGACGUCUCACAGCUACAGGAGGCCGAGGGUUUCAGUAGGAGAGGACGCUGGACCGUUUGCAGGUUGUACUGGGAUCCAGAUGCGAGCAGAAAAAGCCCUGGUGGACACCCAGGAGUGAGAGCAAGUUCCGGGGGACAAAGACCUGGAGAUCAGGAACACCAGGGGUGGAGCGUGGAGCAGGGGCUUCCAACCAACCCAGGAGCUCUCUCCCACUUUAAUGUUUAG
rnacentral:lncRNA from 1 species